rnacentral:rRNA from 1 species
GACGAACGCGGCGGCGUGCCUAAUACAUGCAAGUCGAGCGGACUUCAUCCUUCGGGGUGAGGUAGCGGCGGACGGGUGAGUAACACGUAGGCAACCUGCCCUCGAGACUGGGAUAACCUCCGGAAACGGAUGCUAAUACCAGAUACGCGGUCUUCCCUCCUGGGGAGAUCGGGAAAGACGGAGCAAUCUGUUACUCGGGGAUGGGCCUGCGGCGCAUUAGCUAGUUGGUGAGGUAACGGCUCACCAAGGCGACGAUGCGUAGCCGACCUGAGAGGGUGAUCGGCCACACUGGGACUGAGACACGGCCCAGACUCCUACGGGAGGCAGCAGUAGGGAAUCUUCCGCAAUGGACGAAAGUCUGACGGAGCAACGCCGCGUGAGUGAGGAAGGCCCUCGGGUCGUAAAGCUCUGUUGCCAGGGAAGAACGCUUGGGAGAGUAACUGCUCCCAAGGGGACGGACCUGAGAAGAAAGCCCC